rnacentral:rRNA from 1 species
CCUACGGGGGGCAGCAGUGGGGAAUAUUGGGCAAUGGGCGCAAGCCUGACCCAGCAACGCCGCGUGAAGGAAGAAGGCUUUCGGGUUGUAAACUUCUUUUAAGAGGGAAGAGCAGAAGACGGUACCUCUUGAAUAAGCCACGGCUAACUACGUGCCAGCAGCCGCGGUAAUACGUAGGUGGCAAGCGUUGUCCGGAUUUACUGGGUGUAAGGGGCGUGCAGACGGGAAGACAAGUCAGUUGUGAAAUCUCGCGGCUCAACCGCGGAACUGCAUUUGAAACUGUUUGUCUUGAGUACCGGAGAGGUCAUCGGAAUUCCUUGUGUAGCGGUGAAAUGCGUAGAUAUAAGGAAGAACACCGAUGGCGAAGGCAGAUUACUGGACUGCAACUGACGGUGAGGCGCGAAAGCGUGGGGAGCAAACAGGAUUAGAUACCCGGGUAGUC